rnacentral:lncRNA from 1 species
CGAGCGCAGGCCAACGCCCCCGCCGGUCCCUUUCUAACGAACUUAAGAGCAGGCCGCUACCCCCGCCGCUCCUCCUCCAACGGAUGCGAGAGCAGGCCGCCGCCCCGCUGCUCCUCCUUUGCUACCCCAGGUAUGUGGCCGCCGAACAGACAACACGGCCGCCACCCGCCGCUCCUCAUCGUCUUCACCCACGAAGAUGCUACUAAUUAAGGUGGCUUAGCGCUCUGCGGGUCGAUUGAUUUGUAGGAAUGGAAUUCAUAGGAUUUUUAAUGGUUUGUUGGCGCUCUAUUUUGGAGAAAAAUUCUGUCAAUUUCUAAUUCAAAUUCUUGUGGUUCUGGCAGUGUCAACGGAAUAGAGGAACGCAGCGGAAGGAGCAUCAGGCACGCGGUUGCGGCGCCGGCGAAGGUCGGAAAAGAGAUGGGUGGGUUCUCGCCAAGUUUCUGCGGCUCAUGGUGUUCAUCCAACUCCCUAGAACAACUAGAAGAUGAGUUACCACGACUUCUACAUCAAAGGUUGGAUCUUUAGUAGUUUGUUGGUGGGUGUGCCUACUUAUUAAUUUGAUUUGAUAAGUCAACCUGAGGAACUGCAGAUUGGGUGUGAAUGAAGUUGUUAAUAUCAUUUCGUUCGUGUGUACUUGUGUACUAAUGAUAGCUGCUGCGGUUGUCUGUGAGAGCUGCUGCGUUGUAUAAGGCCGACGUGCACCAAUGUAAACUUUAGGUGAAGCUUACAACACGGCGAGGGAUAGCCUUGAUUUCUGCAUGAGUAAUGCACCUGUAAUGUUUCAUGUUGUGUUCCUGGACUGCCAACAUUACAGAAUGAUAAGCAUUAUGAAUCAGAUUUUUCUCCGCAU